AUAUUUAUUUAUUACUUAUUUUAUGAUUUUAUAAAAUUGUUUUAAUAAAAAUAAUUUUAAAUAUUGAAUUUGUAGUAUUUUAUAAUGAAUAAAUAAUAAAAGUGAUAGUUUAUUAGUAUAGUAAUAGAAAUAUGAAAUAUAAAUUUGUAUUAUAAAAAAAGUAAAUUUAAUUUAUUGUACCUUUUGUAUCAGGGUUUAUUAAAUAAAAUUUAAUUAUUUAUUAAAUUUUCUCGAAUUUAAAAGAGUUAAAGUAAUAUGAAGGUUAUUGUAAUAAAAUUAUUUUAAAUAUUAUUUUGGUAAUGAAAGGUUAUUCGAUUUUAAAUAUAUCUAGUUUUUUAAGAAAUGAAUUUAAUUCAAAUAUAAUUAUUUAUUUAAUGUCUAGUUAAGGAUGUUUGUAAUAAUUAUAUUAAUAUAUUUGGGGAUAAGCUUAAAUAUAUUUAUUAUAAAUUAUGAAUAAUAUAAAAUAAAAUUAGUAGGAUUAGAAAUUUUUAACUUUAAUUAAAGUGUUAUAAUUAAUUUAUUUUAUAAGGUAAUUUAUUUAAUUUUAAUUUAUUUAUUAAAAUAAUUAUAUAAACAAAUUAGUGUAUUGUAAUUAUGAUAAAAUUAGUAUUAAUUGUUUUUUUAAGUAAAAAUUUUAUUUAGAUAAAAAUAAGGAAUUCAGCAAAAUAAUAUUCACCUGUUUAUCAAAAACAUGUCUUUUUGAAAAUAAUUUAAAGUCUAACCUGCCCACUGAAAAUUUUAAAGGGCCGCAGUAUUUUGACUGUGCAAAGGUAGCAUAAUCAUUUGUCUUUUAAUUGAGGACUAGAAUGAAGGGUUGUAUGAAAUAUUAACUGUCUCAUUUUUAUAAAAUUAAUAAUUUAUUUUUUUAGUUAAAAAUCUGAAAUAAAUUUAAAAGACGAGAAGACCCUAUAGAUCUUUAUAAGUAGAUAUUUAUAUAUAAUAAGGAAUAUUUAAAUAAAUAUGUAAAUAUGUUUAUUAUGUUGGGGUGACAGGAAAAUUAAAUGAACUUUUUUAUUUAUAAACCAAUGAUAUUUGAUUAAUUGAUCCAACAAUGUUGAUUAGAAAUUUAAGUUACCUUAGGGAUAACAGCGUAAUUUUUUUUGAGAGUUCUUAUCGAAAAAAAAGAUUGCGACCUCGAUGUUGAAUUAAAGGUUAUUUUUAAGUGCAGAAGCUUAAAGUUUUAGGUCUGUUCGACCUUUGAAUCUUUACAUGAUUUGAGUUCAGACCGGUGUGAGCCAGGUCGGUUUCUAUCUUUAAAUAAAAUUUAUAUUUUAGUACGAAAGGACCAAAUAUAAAAAAAAUUUUUUUAUAUAUUGAAUAAUAAUAAAAAU
rnacentral:rRNA from 1 species